GACACGGUGGUCGAGUGGUCUAAGACGCCAGAUUUAAGAUUUCGCUGGUUUUGUCGUCUACGCGCGAUAAACACCAUUCUUCUUAAGAUUCCUGGUCUCGCAAGAGGCGUGGGUUCGAACCCCACCCGUGUCA
rnacentral:tRNA from 1 species